rnacentral:rRNA from 1 species
CAGGGAGCAAAACUUACUGGUUAAUACCCGGUGAGGCUGAGAGUACCUGAAGAAUAAGCACCGGCUAACUACGUGCCAGCAGCCGCGGUAAUACGUAGGGUGCAAGCGUUAAUCGGAAUUACUGGGCGUAAAGCGUGCGCAGGCGGACUUUUAAGCCAGAUGUGAAAGCCCCGAGCUUAACUUGGGAAUUGCGUUUGGAACUGGGAGUCUAGAGUCUGUCAGAGGGGGAUGGAAUUCCACGUGUAGCAGUGAAAUGCGUAGAGAUGUGGAGGAACACCGAUGGCGAAGGCAGUCCCCUGGGAUAAGACUGACGCUCAUGCACGAAAGCGUGGGGAGCAAACAGGAUUAGAUACCCUGGUAGUCCACGCCCUAAACGAUGUCUACUAGUUGUUGGGGUAGCAAUACCUCAGUGACGCAGCUAACGCGUGAAGUAGACCGCCUGGGGAGUACGGUCGCAAGAUUAAAACUCAAAGGAAUUGACGGGGG